UUGCCUCCAAUUUGUAGUCAAUAGAGAGAAGGGAAUUUGCAACUAGCUAAAUUAUUUAGCACAGACAGGUAAUUUACUACUCUAUUGACGUACUCACAUAAGUCCAUGUAUCAGCGCCUUUGCACUAGAGCGCACCGUGCUUUUCCCUGCUGAAACUGGAACGUUGAAAGCUACGUACACAGCUGAAGGCUACGAGACUACGAGGAACGAAGAGGGAGAGUGGGGAUGCGAGUUUCAGGAGGGGUGCUUCAGUUGUGCCCUUGACGUUGAUCGCAUUUGCAUCUAAAGUGAUGUCAAUGCAUUUUGUUGGAUAAGUGUCUUUCAUGUUUACAUGCAUGAAACGUCUAGAUUGUCCAGACUUAUAUAAUCAACUCCUUGGAGAAGGCCCAGCUUCAGCACUCCACACACUGUCAAUCAAUCCGUCGAUGUUUUCAAUUAAAACCGGUCCCCGGUCGCAAUUUUUCAUUUCGAUGAAAAUUUCAUUGAAAUAGCCGAAUUAUAUACACGAUCCGGUGGUUCGAUCUGUUGGUAAACACAGCGCCACUAAAAACAUGAUUUACCCCUUUGCAAAUCAAAAGGGGAAUUAAAUAGCUUAUAACUUGAGUUGGGUCACCUGCUUUGAGACUAUCAAAGUGAUAAUUUUAUUAGUAAAGCGAACCCGCUAAUUAUAUUCCACGCAAAUUCAGUAUGAAUAAUUAUGAAAUUGCUGAUUUACGUGACAACGAAUGAAAUUUAUAUUUCGCAAAAUCAAACACAUUUCAUCUCGGAGAAAGUUUUCAGAGUUGCGCCUUGUUUAAGAUUUAUUGCAUCUGAAAAGAAACAUUAUAUUAUCAUCACGCCGCACGACGGCUCUGUAUUAAAUUUACAUGGCACAUUUUCCAUCUAAAUUUCCUGAAAAAUUUUGCACCCCUAAACGGAUUACAGCUAAUUGAGGAUAUGAAUCUAACAGAGCUCCACUUUAGUGUCAAAUUCAAUUCCCAUAUAUAAACCUUCCUCACCUACUACUUAAAAGAUCCUUCUAGAAUUAUCGAUCUCGGGAAUCUUACUUUAAUAUGCAUCGGCACUGCAUCCCCGAUCAAACUCAGCUCCAACUCAAACUUAAUCAACCCCCGAAUGUGUUAAUUUUAUCAAUAACCUUGACCGCCAAAUUGAUUCGCGGCCACAAUUUCACGAACAACAGUUAUGUCUAGUUUUAGAUCCAUUAAGAUAAUACAACGAAAUGUAACGAUUUACGAUGGUAAUAAGUAUUCUUUUUUUCGGCGAAGCUCAACCGUUUUUAAAGCUCGGCCGGAGAGCGCCGUAAUUACUUAGAAAAUAAGGCCAGAGAAAAUGCUUCUAAUCGCUUUAAUGCGACCUGCUAAGCAUUUAUGUUUAUGUGUUGUUUUCAUUUUAGGUAAUCUUCGUUAUUAAUUUUAAUUUUACCGCAAACGAAAUUUUAAACGAUCAUCUCGCCCAUCUGUAUUGAAACAUUUGCACGCAAAUUUAAGAUGCAAAAUUCGCUGUUUACCCAUCCCGCUUUGAAACAAAGAUAAUUACCAAUUACUGACGUGUCAAUUUGAUUUACUCACUAUUAGCACCCGUUGUAACAUAAACUCGUCCAAAAUUUAUAAUCAUAUAUUUCACACACGCACGUCAGACCUGUAUUGAAAUCGGAAACUUAUUCAAUUUCAUUCCAAUAAUGAAAAUAUCGAAUUUUUCCUAAAAGAUAAAAUAAAGACCAAUAGAUGUCAGCAACGUGUUCUUCAUGGUUUAUUUGACAACAAACAUUCCUACAAUUUUCUAUCGCUCCGCUUUUGCAUGUUUCUUUAAAGUGGGUGUGUGAAAUGUAAAUUUUCGGAUUUUACGGAAUCUUGAAGGGACAAAAUAUUUCGCGAUAAAAGUAAUAGCUAAAACAUAAAAUACCACUUUUUGUUUAUUUAGGAACUCGCUUUCAAAACUCUAUUUUAAAUUUUCAACUCCGACUCACCCCACAAUCCAAUACAUUGUUAUGUUCAUGUCAUAUUCGCAAAUUUUUCACCAUUGAACAUGAUGACGGUGCAAAUGUGCUUGCACUCACACUGAAUUUGACACAAAAGGCGUAUGAAACAUAUUCGAAUUUAUUUCAGCUGAAAAUUAUUAUUGCACAAAUGGAUCCAAAACGACUGCAAAUGCAAUCACCUUUUGGUAUCACGACUUACAUGCAACAACUAAAUUGCAAGUCCGCGAAUGAAUGUAUUAUUUUAAUAACAGUAGUCGCCGAUUUCCAAAACUAAGAAUUUUUUUAAGGUUCAUAAACAUUCACCUCACUAAAAAAUACUAGAAGAAUUUACGUUAAUGUAAAGGAAACCGAAAAAUUAUUUUGCAGAAUUUAGUGUUAUUCUCGGUGUUGAACUUAAAAUAGCUAAUUUUUUGAGUGUUUUUGUAAUAAUAAUGCUAUGAGAACAACUCUCCCUCUGUCGGGUGAUUAAAUCGUGAGUGCUUUGUCUAAUUCGGGAAAAAUGCGCUUUCCCGUUUAUUUAUUUUAUUAUUAAAUUCGCUUUUUAGCAGAACUGGGUUUGACAUUUGGUGAAAAGCCCGUGGUAUAUAGUGACAUCUUAAUAAAUUUGCUAUUAGUGAGCGUGCGAGAGGUCGGUCGAGCAAUGCUUUUAACCGGACGCUUAGUCAUUACAACACAUGAGGAAGUUAAGGACUUCGAUAGGAAAUCCAAAACAAAGGAUUCACGGUUGCUCCAAAUCUCUCCUAUUCACCUCUCAAAUGAAUUAUGGACAAACAGUUGUCGCUCUCUCCAUGCAAAAUUCAAAUACACGAACCGUUAACGGAAUGGAAUUCGACGAUUCAAGUUCGCAAACCAUGUAAUUGGGGGGAAUCUAAUUGAAAAAGAAUGGACGUCAAUAGGGCUUUGUUCACUUUGUUUUCGGUCAAAAAAGUUACUCAACUCGCUCGGAAAAACAAAAUUUUGCUCAAUAAAUAUCUGCCCACAUCAACUAAACAUUUUUGUAAUACAUGCCAUGUUGACAUGAUCUUGUUUACUACAGAGCGAACAAGAAGUGGAUUAUCGCCGGUAAUCUCAUUAUGACAAUUGAUAAUCGCGAUAAUAUAACCACGUACGAAUCGCUAGAUCAUAAUACCAAGAUACAACGCAGUUAUUUCUGCUAAUUGUACAUACGCAUCAAACAAAACGCCAAAUAAUUUAAUUUCCGGUUAAAUUCGGCAGAUAACGUGUAUGUAGGUACUACUUUGUUGCUUUCAGCUCUGUUACCACUUAAAAACCCAAAUUAAAAAGUUUGUUAAUAAGCCAAUAAUUUGGGCAACGAAUACCACUCCCACCAGUGGCGUUAACUUAGUUCAUAAAAUGGUGAAAGAACGCAAAAACGCCUGCAAUUGCUAGACCACAAAAAAGGGUCAACCAAUGGAAUCGCAGUAGGCGGAACCCAUGACCGGUUAUAAAUCGGUGGCAACACCAAAAAAAAUUAUGGCUGGAUUAAAGAUAGGGCGAACGUCUUCAACAAUAUCGCAACGUUUCUCAAUUUCUACAAAUAUUUUAUGUGGAUUUAAAUUAUGAAUUCAACACACAAGUUAUUAAAAGUGUGUUUUUGUUUUACACUGAACGAAAAGUUCAAACUCCGGUCCCGUUUAAUACAAAAACACAAGAAGAACUGAUUUUUUAGCUCAAGAAACAGCUGUUUAAACGCUUAAAAUAGAUAAAAAUCACACCAUGUUGGAAAAUUUCGCGAAGUAUUUGUUUAAUUAUUCCAAAGCGCCUAUUUAUCUACUGUUUACUUUCAUACCCCAAGGCAUCCGAAAAAAUGUUUUUAACAUUGCUAUAAAUAGAAUUUCAUUUUUUAUUUUGUAUACGGGGCCGAAAAUUUAAUAUUCCAAAUUUAGACCUCUUUGAGCGAAGUUUUUAAUAAUAAAUUUAUCCAACCGCACAUGAGACAAAUAUAGGAAGAGCGAACGGCGGGAAACAAAAAAUACAAACAAUAAAGAGGCCGAGAGAACCUCACACAUGACCAGAUUAUCCGAAGCGAACAUUAAUUUAGGAAGUGUUUCAUUGUUUUUGCCGUGCUGAUUUAGAUGUUUCCAAGUGUUUCAAUUAAAUAAAAAUUCCCCACACUGGGGUAGCACCGAA